GACGUAGGAUGCAAGCGUUGUCCGGAUUUAUUGGGCGUAAAGAGUUCGUAGGCGGUUCGUUAAGUCUGAUGUUAAAGACUGGGGCUCAACCCCGGGAGUGCAUUGGAUACUGGCGGACUGGAGUGUGGUAGAGGCUAGUGGAAUUCCCAGUGUAGCGGUGAAAUGCGUAGAUAUUGGGAAGAACACCAGUGGCGUAGGCGACUAGCUGGGCCAUAACUGACGCUGAGGAACGAAAGCCAGGGGAGCGAAUGGGAUUAGAUACCCCAGUAGUCCUGGCCGUAAACGAUGGAUACUAGGCGUAGUGGGUAUCGACCCCUACUGUGCCGCAGCUAACGCGAUAAGUAUCCCGCCUGAGUAGUACGGCCGCAAGGUUGAA
rnacentral:rRNA from 1 species